CCCUUAGAUGUUCUGGGCCGCACGCGUGCUACACUGAGUGGAUCAGCGGGUCAGGUUGCGCGAAAGCGUUUCCUAAUCUUUAAAUCCGCUCGUGAUGGGGAUUGACGGUUGCAAUUUUCUGUCAUGAACGAGGAAUACCUUGUAAGCGCGGGUCAUCAUCCCGCGCUGAAUACGUCCCUGCCCUUUGUACACACCGCCCGUCGCUCCUACCGAUUGGAUGGUUUAGUGAGGCCCUCGGAUCGGCCCCGCCGGGGUCGGCCCACGGCCCUGGCGGAGCGCUGAGAAGACGGUCGAACUUGACUAUCUAGAGGAAGUAAAAGUCGUAACA
rnacentral:rRNA from 1 species